UUGAUCCUGGCUCAGGACGAACGCUGGCGGCGUGCCUAAUACAUGCAAGUCGAACGAACUCUGGUAUUGAUUGGUGCUUGCAUCAUGAUUUACAUUUGAGUGAGUGGCGAACUGGUGAGUAACACGUGGGAAACCUGCCCAGAAGCGGGGGAUAACACCUGGAAACAGAUGCUAAUACCGCAUAACAACUUGGACCGCAUGGUCCGAGCUUGAAAGAUGGCUUCGGCUAUCACUUUUGGAUGGUCCCGCGGCGUAUUAGCUAGAUGGUGGGGUAACGGCUCACCAUGGCAAUGAUACGUAGCCGACCUGAGAGGGUAAUCGGCCACAUUGGGACUGAGACACGGCCCAAACUCCUACGGGAGGCAGCAGUAGGGAAUCUUCCACAAUGGACGAAAGUCUGAUGGAGCAACGCCGCGUGAGUGAAGAAGGGUUUCGGCUCGUAAAACUCUGUUGUUAAAGAAGAACAUAUCUGAGAGUAACUGUUCAGGUAUUGACGGUAUUUAACCAGAAAGCCACGGCUAACUACGUGCCAGCAGCCGCGGUAAUACGUAGGUGGCAAGCGUUGUCCGGAUUUAUUGGGCGUAAAGCGAGCGCAGGCGGUUUUUUAAGUCUGAUGUGAAAGCCUUCGGCUCAACCGAAGAAGUGCAUCGGAAACUGGGAAACUUGAGUGCAGAAGAGGACAGUGGAACUCCAUGUGUAGCGGUGAAAUGCGUAGAUAUAUGGAAGAACACCAGUGGCGAAGGCGGCUGUCUGGUCUGUAACUGACGCUGAGGCUCGAAAGUAUGGGUAGCAAACAGGAUUAGAUACCCUGGUAGUCCAUACCGUAAACGAUGAAUGCUAAGUGUUGGAGGGUUUCCGCCCUUCAGUGCUGCAGCUAACGCAUUAAGCAUUCCGCCUGGGGAGUACGGCCGCAAGGCUGAAACUCAAAGGAAUUGACGGGGGCCCGCACAAGCGGUGGAGCAUGUGGUUUAAUUCGAAGCUACGCGAAGAACCUUACCAGGUCUUGACAUACUAUGCAAAUCUAAGAGAUUAGACGUUCCCUUCGGGGACAUGGAUACAGGUGGUGCAUGGUUGUCGUCAGCUCGUGUCGUGAGAUGUUGGGUUAAGUCCCGCAACGAGCGCAACCCUUAUUAUCAGUUGCCAGCAUUAAGUUGGGCACUCUGGUGAGACUGCCGGUGACAAACCGGAGGAAGGUGGGGAUGACGUCAAAUCAUCAUGCCCCUUAUGACCUGGGCUACACACGUGCUACAAUGGAUGGUACAACGAGUUGCGAACUCGCGAGAGUAAGCUAAUCUCUUAAAGCCAUUCUCAGUUCGGAUUGUAGGCUGCAACUCGCCUACAUGAAGUCGGAAUCGCUAGUAAUCGCGGAUCAGCAUGCCGCGGUGAAUACGUUCCCGGGCCUUGUACACACCGCCCGUCACACCAUGAGAGUUUGUAACACCCAAAGUCGGUGGGGUAACC
rnacentral:rRNA from 1 species